rnacentral:rRNA from 1 species
AUACGGAGGGGGCAAGCGUUGUUCGGAAUUACUGGGCGUAAAGAGUACGUAGGCGGAUCGUUAAGUUAGAGGUGAAAUCCCAGGGCUCAACCCUGGAACUGCCUUUAAUACUGGCGAUCUAGAGAUCGAGAGAGGUGAGUGGAAUUUCCAGUGUAGAGGUGAAAUUCGUAGAUAUUGGAAAGAACACCAGUGGCGAAGGCGGCUCACUGGCUCGAUCCUGACGCUGAGGUACGAAAGCGUGGGGAGCAAACAGGAUUAGAUACCCUUGUAGUCC